UGAGGAAAAUUCUUCAUCCUUGACGGACUAGC
rnacentral:piRNA from 1 species